rnacentral:rRNA from 1 species
GUCUAUGGCCAUACCACCCUGAGUGCACUCGAUCUCAGGCCUGGCUAAGCAGGCCUUGGAUAGGAGACCACCUGGGAAUACCAGGUGCUGUAGGCU